rnacentral:snRNA from 1 species
GUUACUGCGGUACAUAUUCUAUAAUUGGAACGAUACAGUGAACAUUAGCAUGACCCCUACGCAAGGGUGACACGUGAAGCGUUCCAUAUUUUC